rnacentral:rRNA from 1 species
UAAGGAAUAUUGGUCAAUGGACGCAAGUCUGAACCAGCCAUGCCGCGUGAAGGAUGAAGGUCCUCUGGAUUGUAAACUUCUUUUAUCUGGGACGAAAACGGGAUUUUUAUCUCAAUUGACGGUACCAGAGGAAUAAGCACCGGCUAACUCCGUGCCAGCAGCCGCGGUAAUACGGAGGGUGCGAGCGUUAUCCGGAUUUACUGGGUUUAACGGGUGCGUAGGUGGGCUUAUAAGUCAGUGGUGAAAUCUCCGAGCUUAGCUUGGGAACUGCCGUUGAUACUAUAGGUCUUGAAUUAUCUGGAGGUAAGCGGAAUAUGUCAUGUAGCGGUGAAAUGCUUAGAUAUGACAUAGAACACCAAUUGCGAAGGCAGCUUACUACAUAUAAAUUGACGCUGAGGCACGAAAGCGUGGGGA